rnacentral:rRNA from 1 species
CCUACGGGUGGCAGCAGUGGGGAAUAUUGGGCAAUGGGCGCAAGCCUGACGCAGCAACGCCGCGUGAAGGAAGAAGGCUUUCGGGUUGUAAACUUCUUUUCUCAGGGACGAAACAAGUGACGGUACCUGAGGAAUAAGCCACGGCUAACUACGUGCCAGCAGCCGCGGUAAUACGUAGGUGGCAAGCGUUAGCCGGAUUUACUGGGUGUAAAGGGCGAGUAGGCGGGGAAGCAAGUCAGAUUUGAAAACCUCUGGCUCAACCUUUGGCCUGCAUUUGAAACUGUGUUUCUUGAGUACUGGGGAGGCAGACGGAAUUCCUAGUGGAGCGGUGAAAUGCGUAGAGAUUAGGAGGAACACUCGUGGCGAAGGCGGUCUGCUGGACAGCAACUGACGCUGAUGCGCGAAAGCGUGGGGAGCAAACAGGAUUAGAUACCCCUGUAGUC